AAAAAUAUCACUUGAAGGAGGGAUUUCUGUAGACGACGCCUUCAAGGGAGGAGGAUGUGACUAUGUGACUCGAGACAAACAAACGGUGCAAUUGCAACAAUAGAAUUAGUCAGAGGUAUGGUUACUAUCAGCAGCGUUACACACAGUGUGCAUUGUUAAUACACCAAUCCCUGAGAAAACAUUCCAAUGGAAAAUAUUGGGAAUUUCUGCCCUUCCAUCCUGAACUGCACAAUGCUGGGUUAGACAGUACGAAAAAUUCUUCUCUCGGAAGUUUAUGACUUUGAACUUGCUUGAGGUGACCCUUGAGACAAGAAGCCUUUCCUGCUUUGUGUGGACAGGAACAUUAGAGGCAUUGAUGUCUGUAACCAACAAGUGUUUUGCAAAGAAAGUAAAAAGAAACAUUGAUGUUGGUUAUCCUCGUGCGUGAUGCUGAAGCCUGGUAUCUUAUUGAUGCAUUGGUUCUAUUCAUGGGGAAAAGAAUGUUGUGUGGGAGAAACAGGAUCACAAUUGAUUUUAAUAAUCGCAAAGUCACGAGAAAUAUGCUAAUAGGGUUUCGCUGUGUUAAUGAGUUCGAACAGGAUAUUGAUGGAGGUUUGGUGUAAAAGAAGUAUGUGUACAAUGUUGGAAGGGCGACUGAAGAUUUCCGGAUUCUUCUAUUAUCUCCCAUGUUAUGGUAGACUAUUUAUACAAAUAUGUUGCAGUGCACAUCAGGGCUCCCUUCUUUUCUGUGGCCCCGUUUCCCCUUGACUUGUGAUAAGCCCAUAGGGGGUCAUGCCCCUACUGUGAUCAGCAGUAAAGGUUGUGAGUGCGCUGUCCGGAAAGGGAACGUGGGGGUC